UUUCCGUAGGUGAACCUGCGGAAGGAUCAUUAUUGGAUUUUGAAGCUUCAGGCUGCUGCUGGCUCUCCUCGGAGGGCAUGUGCACGCUUGUUGUCCAUUAUUUCUCCCACUGUGCACAAAUUGUAGACCUUUCAGUAGGCCUAUGUUGUUUUUCACAAUCUCUGAAUGUAAUAGAAUGGUUUUGAAUCUUGGGAAAUACAAUACAACUUUCAGCAACGGAUCUCUUGGCUCUC
rnacentral:misc_RNA from 1 species